UACGGAGGGGGCUAGCGUUGUUCGGAAUUACUGGGCGUAAAGCGCACGUAGGCGGACGCUUAAGUCAGGGGUGAAAUCCCGGGGCUCAACCCCGGAACUGCCUUUGAUACUGGGCGUCUGGAGGUCGGGAGAGGCGAGUGGAAUUCCGAGUGUAGAGGUGAAAUUCGUAGAUAUUCGGAGGAACACCAGUGGCGAAGGCGGCUCGCUGGCCCGAUACUGACGCUGAGGUGCGAAAGCGUGGGGAGCAAACAGGAUUAGAAACCCCCGUAGUCC
rnacentral:rRNA from 1 species